rnacentral:rRNA from 1 species
GACUCUCGCAACGGAUAUCUCGUUCUCGCAUCGAUGAAGACGUAGCGAAAUGCGAUACUUGGUGUGAAUUGCAGAAUCCGUGAACCAUCGAGUCUUUGAACGCAAGUUGCGCCGAGCCGUUAGGCCGAGGGCACGUCUGCCUGGGCGUCA